AACGAACGCUGGCGGCAGGCCUAACACAUGCAAGUCGAGCGGACAUCUUCGGAUGUUAGCGGCGGACGGGUGAGUAACGCGUGGGAACGUGCCCUUUGCUUCGGAAUAGCCUCGGGAAACUGGGAGUAAUACCGGAUGUACCCUUUGGGGGAAAGAUUUAUCGGCAAAGGAUCGGCCCGCGUUGGAUUAGGUAGUUGGUGGGGUAAUGGCCUACCAAGCCGACGAUCCAUAGCUGGUUUGAGAGGAUGAUCAGCCACACUGGGACUGAGACACGGCCCAGACUCCUACGGGAGGUAGCAGUGGGGAAUCUUAGACAAUGGGGGAAACCCUGAUCUAGCCAUGCCGCGUGAGCGAUGAAGGCCUUAGGGUUGUAAAGCUCUUUCACCGGGGAAGAUAAUGACGGUACCCGGAGAAGAAGCCCCGGCUAACUCCGUG
rnacentral:rRNA from 1 species